GGCUAGCUCAAUCGGUAGAGCGUGAGACUCUUAAUCUCAAGGUUGUGGGUUCGACCCGUAAGUUAUAGCUGUUAACCU